rnacentral:rRNA from 1 species
CGAACGCUGGCGGCGCGCCUAACACAUGCAAGUCGAACGAGAGAUGAAGAGCUUGCUCUUCAAAUCGAGUGGCGAACGGGUGAGUAAUGUCUGGGAAACUGCCUGAUGGAGGGGGAUAACUACUGGAAACGGUAGCUAAUACCGCAUAACGUCGCAAGACCAAAGAGGGGGACCUUCGGGCCUCUUGCCAUCAGAUGUGCCCAGAUGGGAUUAGCUAGUAGGUGGGGUAACGGCUCACCUAGGCGACGAUCCCUAGCUGGUCUGAGAGGAUGACCAGCCACACUGGAACUGAGACACGGCCCAGACUCCUACGGGAGGCAGCAGUGGGGAAUAUUGCACAAUGGGCGCAAGCCUGAUGCAGCAACGCCGCGUGGAGGAAGACGGUUUUCGGAUUGUAAACUCCUGUCGUUAGGGACGAUAAUGACGGUACCUAACAAGAAAGCACCGGCUAACUACGUG